rnacentral:rRNA from 1 species
ACGUGGACCGGGAGAGGUAAGAGGUACUACAGGGGUAGGAGUGAAAUCUUGUAAUCCCUGUGGGACCACCUGUGGCGAAGGCGUCUUACCAGAACGGGUUCGACGGUGAGGGACGAAAGCUGGGGGCACGAACCGGAUUAGAUACCCGGGUAGUCCCAGCCGUAAACGAUGCUCGCUAGGUGUCAGGCAUGGCGCGACCGUGUCUGGUGCCGCAGGGAAGCCGUGAAGCGAGCCACCUGGGAAGUACGGCCGCAAGGCUGAAACUUAAAGGAAUUGGCGGGGGAGCACAACAACGGGUGGAGCCCUGCGGUUUAAUUGGACUCAACGCCGGACAACUCACCGGGGGCGACAGCAAUAUGUAGGCCAAGCUGAAGACUUUGCCUGAAUCGCUGAGGAGUGGUGCAUGG